GAUCCUGGCUCAGAAUCAACGCUGGCGGCGUGCCUAACACAUGCAAGUCGAACGAGAAAGGGACUUCGGUCCUGAGUAAAGUGGCGCACGGGUGAGUAACACGUGACUAACCUACCCUGGAGUGGGGAAUAACUUCGAGAAAUCGAGGCUAAUACCGCAUAACACCUACGGGUCAAAGGAGCAAUUCGCUUCAGGAGGGGGUCGCGGCAGAUUAGCUAGUUGGCGGGGUAAUGGCCCACCAAGGCAGUGAUCUGUAUCCGGCCUGAGAGGGCGCACGGACACACUGGAACUGAAACACGGUCCAGACUCCUACGGGAGGCAGCAGUGGGGAAUUUUGCGCAAUGGGGGAAACCCCGACGCAGCAACGCCGCGUGGAGGAUGAAGUAUCUUGGUACGUAAACUCCUUUCGACCGGGACGAUAAUGACGGUACCGGAAGAAGAAGCCCCGGCUAACUUCGUGCCAGCAGCCGCGGUAAUACGAGGGGGGCAAGCGUUGUUCGGAAUUAUUGGGCGUAAAGGGUGCGUAGGCGGCCCCGCAAGUCUUGUGUGAAAUCUUCGGGCUCAACUCGAAGUCUGCAUAGGAAACUGCGGGGCUGGAGUAUGGGAGAGGUGAGUGGAAUUCCUGGUGUAGCGGUGAAAUGCGUAGAUAUCAGGAGGAACACCUGUGGCGAAAGCGGCUCACUGGACCAU
rnacentral:rRNA from 1 species